rnacentral:lncRNA from 1 species
UUUUUUGUGAUUGACCAAGAUCUAGCUUUUCUAUUAUUAUUUUGGUAUUAUCCAACAGUUUUUUUCUUAGUCUCUUUCCUUGGCCUUUUUCUUUUUGAAGUUUGUCAUUUUGCUUUUGCUUCAUAUUGUCCUUGCAUAUAAAAUCAACAUGGUGUAUUGGGAUAAUGAAUAUGAUGGAUGGACAAACCUACCAGCUCAUGUUGUUAGAUGACGACUUUAGGUAACUUAUUUGAAGUAUUAAAAUAUUUUAGUCACUUUGUAGUGUAAAAAAGAGAUUUUGUUAAAAAAAAAGUAAUUCAUGUUGAAAUUUGUUUUGUAAAAUGAAUUAUAUUGGCUUUGACAAGUUGAUGACAGGAAUGAAAGCUAAUGGAAAAAUUGGACAUGUAGAGAAUAAUAUAUCAGCUUAAAGAAUCUACUCAA